AGCUCCAGUAGCGUAUAUUAACGUUGUUGCAGUUAAAAAGCUCGUAGUUGGAUUUCUGGCCUGGUGCGCCUGAUCCACUUCUCUUUUAAGGGGAUGUGUGUAUCGGAUAGCGCGCCUGCCAUCCUUCUGGAAAGUACGCCUACCCUUCACUGGGCCGGGUGUGCAAUCUGGAUCUUUUACUUUGAAAAAAUUAGAGUGUUUCAAGCAGGCAUUAUGCUGUGAAUACAUUAGCAUGGAAUAAUAAGAUAGGACUUCGGCUCUAUUUUGUUGGUUUCUAGGACUGAAGUAAUGAUUGAUAGGGAUAGUUGGGGGUGCUAGUAUUUAACGGCCAGAGGUGAAAUUCAUGGAUUCGUUAAAGACUAACUAAUGCGAAAGCAUUCACCAAGGAUGUCUUCUUUAA
rnacentral:rRNA from 1 species